rnacentral:lncRNA from 1 species
AGCAUUAUUGCAGGUAUCUUGAAGGAGAGUUGAGCCCAGCUUUUCAAUUCAUACAGAUCCUUUCUCUGAAGAACCCCUUCCUGAUAUUGUCACUUUAACACAUCUCUGUGGUUUUAUUUUGAAAUUUUUAAAGGUACAGUCAUGUGCCGCAUAAUGACAUUCAGUCAAUGACAGACUGCAUAUAUGAGGUGGUCCUGUAAGGUGAUAAUGGAGCUGAAAAAUUCCUACUACUGAACGACAUCAUAGCCAUUGUAACAUCAUAGCACAACCAAUCACCUUUUCUAUAUUUAGAUAAGGAGUUCAUAUGCUGGAAUGAUAGUGACACAGGAGUUUAACACUCCUACAGUAUCCAGAGCCUGGAUCCCUGAGUCAUCAGAUGGAGAAGAACUACUCAGGAGAGUCAUCCAACCUUCAUAGACAGUGGCAUGAGUGGGAAUUAAACAUUGAUUAUGUUAA